rnacentral:rRNA from 1 species
GGAUGAAUUUUUCUCAAUGGGGGAAACCCUGAAGGAGCGACGCCGCGUGGGGGAUGAAUGGCUUCGGCCCGUAAACCCCUGUCAUUUGCGAUCAAACCUCACAGCCUAACACGCUGUGAGCUGAUAGUAGCGGAAGAGGAAGGGACGGCUAACUCUGUGCCAGCAGCCGCGGUAAUACAGAGGUCCCAAGCGUUGUUCGGAUUCACUGGGCGUAAAGGGUGCGUAGGCGGUCGGGUAAGUCUGAUGUGAA